rnacentral:rRNA from 1 species
GUGGGGAAUCUUCCGCAAUGGACGAAAGUCUGACGGAGCAACGCCGCGUGAGUGAAGAAGGUUUUCGGAUCGUAAAGCUCUUUCGUUAGGGACGAACGUGCUCUUUGUGAAUAAUGAGGAGUAAUGACGGUACCUAAAUAAGAAGCCACGGCUAACUACGUGCCAGCAGCCGCGGUAAUACGUAGGUGGCAAGUGUUGUCCGGAAUUAUUGGGCGUAAAGCGCGCGCAGGCGGGAUAUCAAGUCUGUCUUAAAAGUGCGAGGCUCAACCUCGUGAGGGGACAGAAACUGGUAUUCUUGAGUGUCGGAGAGGAAAGUGGAAUUCCAAGUGUAGCGGUGAAAUGCGUAGAGAUUUGGAAGAACACCAGUGGCGAAGGCGACUUUCUGGACGAUGUCUGACGCUGAGGCGCGAAAGCUAGGGGAGCGAACGGGAUUAGAUACCCGAGUAGUCC